AUGAAAACUCUAACAAUAUUGAGAAUUAAAAGGUUACCAUAUCACAUUCAGAAACAGAAUAUGUCUUUUGGACCCAUCAACCAUACUGUUUACAUUUUGUACAGUGACAUCUUUUUCAGUCUUUUUUUUUUUUUUAAUAAAUGUAGUUAUGUCAAAUAUUACUUUGCAGCUGAUGAAAUGAGAAGUCUAGCUAACACCAUGUUUCUGUCUAGCUACCCACUUCUGCCUACAUUGUACAGUUCCUUCAUGAUUGAUGUGGCUCUUAAUCGAUUCAUGUUUUUUUUCCAUUUUAUGAUUAAAAGACCAGGAACAUACAAAAAAACAAAACAACAUAAGUCUAAUUUAUAGGUUGCCCUGAGAACAAAUAUGGUGUGAGUGUGUCAAAUGGUCAGUGUUUUAACAUAUUUUGUCAUCUACAGGUUUUUUCCUUGUAUUCACACACAGCGUGGUGUUGGGGCUGACGGGGCUGUAUACCAGAGAUGAAAAUCCACAUCAGAGACUAACUAACAACGGAGACAUCUGUUUGACCUUUCUGGACAGUUUAUUAAAUCUUUGGUAUGGCAAACUGUUGGUCAGAAAUAAAGCUGAAAAAGAUGAGACACAUGCACACACACACACACACACACACACACACACACACACACACACAUCUCUCUCUCUCUCCCUCUCCCUAUAUAUAUAUAUAUCCAUAAUGUGUGAAACAACAAAUUAAGGUGAAACAGAUGUUGAAUUGUGGGAAGCGUAUGAUGCAUGUAUGAAUGCCACAAGCCUACCCCUUUCUGAACUGUGUUCUGCCCCAACAGUCCUUGACAUAAUAGCUAAAAAAUUAGAACUGACUGAGGCCAGGCUAAACCAACAGCAAUCAGUACUUGAAAACUUACAAGAGAUUAACUGUUGCAAAAGCAUUGCCAAUCUACUUAUAAACUAGGGAGGGGGAAUGCCAUCAGAAGCGGUUGGGUUUUUAACGUCAGACAUUAAUUUAUGGAAUGGCCACUCCCACUAAAUUAUUCGAGCACAAUGAUGGUUUUGGAUGGUCUGUUAAUAAUAAUAAUAAUAACAUUCCAGUUGAACAGCAGGUGACCAACAACGGUAGGAUUUUGAGGCACCGGCCUCUGACUAACCUGCUAUACAGUCACUGUUGGCCUGCUGCCAGGCCACCUCCCAGGUCACGCCUCCUCCGUUGCUUGCCUAUCGCUUGGCCUCCAGAUCUGCUCUGCAGCUGGUCUCCAGAACUGCUUUGUCACCUCCGCUAGCCCCACUGCUGACCUCCUGAACUACCCUCUGUCUGGCGAUUGGACUCCACCUAAAAAAUCUGAUGGAUUCAGUGAUCCAGGUAGAAAAUUUAACAGGUUAUUGAAAAAAAAUCUCCCAAGAAAGCCUUCAGUCCAAAAUGGUGCAGUGAAAGUAGUGACAUGGACUAGAAAGACCAUAUUUCUGUGCUGCUGGCUUCUGUUUAUUGGGUCCCUAUUCCUGUACUGAUUUAGAAAAUGUUUGCAUUGUUAUAUAUCACAUUAUUACUAGUGCUAGGAGAUGGUGGAAAAUUGCACACUAAAGAUGUUAGAAGGCAUCCUGAAUAACUUUGCUCAGCCACAACAACAGUAACAUCAGUACUGGAAGACUCCUCUCUCUCUGUUGGAAAAAAUGAAAUAAAAUUCACAGAAUAAAUUCAGAGAUAUAGAAAAUCAUUCGCACCCACAGCCAUCAGGCUUUAAUAGAUGA
ensembl:lncRNA